rnacentral:rRNA from 1 species
GUGUCCUACGGGGGGCAGCAGCCGCGGUAAUACGUAGGGGGCAAGCGUUAUCCGGAUUUACUGGGUGUAAAGGGAGCGUAGACGGCAGCGCAAGUCUGGAGUGAAAUGCCGGGGCCCAACCCCGGAACUGCUCUGGAAACUGUGAAGCUGGAGUGCAGGAGAGGUAAGCGGAAUUCCUGGUGUAGCGGUGAAAUGCGUAGAUAUCAGGAGGAACACCGGCGGCGAAGGCGGCUUACUGGACUGUAACUGACGUUGAGGCUCGAAGGCGUGGGGAGCAAACAGGAUUAGAUACCCGGGUAGUCCAA